GUCCACGCCCUAAACGAUGUCGACUGGUUGUUGGGGUUUGACACUCUCAGUAACGAAGCUAACGCGUGAAGUCGACCGCCUGGGGAGUAUGGCCGCAAGGUUAAAACUCAAAGGAAUUGACGGGGACCCGCACAAGCGGUGGAUUAUGUGGAUUAAUUCGAUGCAACGCGAAAACCUUACCUACCCUUGACAUGUCCUGAAUCCCGGUGAAAGCCGGGAGUGCCCGAAAGGGAACGGGAACACAGGUGCUGCAUGGCUGUCGU
rnacentral:rRNA from 1 species